CCCCUAAAAUGUAAGAGUUCCUCCUCAAGGUUCGUCCACGGUGGGCGAGCCAGGACCUAAGAUUAGGCCAAAAGGCGUAGUCGAUGGAGAACAGGUAAAUAUUUUGUACUAUCUCUUGUUGGUUCUGAGGGAUAGAGGAGGCUAGGUUAGCCGAAAGAUGAUUAUCGGUUCAAGAACGUAAGGUGUCCCUGCCUUUUUAUAAAGUAAUAAGGGAUAAAGAAAAUGUCUCAAGCCAAUGUUUGAAUAUCAGGCGCUACGGCGCAGAAGUAACCCAUGCCAUACUCCCAAAGAAAGCACGAAUGACUUUGGACAAGAGGGUAUCUGUGCCCGAAAUUGACACAAGUGGGUAGGUAGAGAACACCUAGGGGCACGAGAUAACUCUCUUUAAAGAACUCAGCAAAAUAGCCCCGUAACUUUGAGAGAAUGGGUGUCUCCUCACAAAGCGGUACAUAGUGACCAGGCCCGAGCGACUGCUUCCAAAAACACAUGUCUCCAUAAAGUCGUAAGACUAUGUAUGGGGUUGGCGCCCCAAUGCCGGAAGGUCCAGAAAGUUGGUGACCUGAGGACAGGAGAGACGACGAUUGAAGUCCCGGUGAACAACGGUCAUAACUAUAACGGUCCUAAGGUAGCAAAAUUUCUUAUCGGGUAAGUUCUGACCCACAUAAAAGGCGUAACGAUUUAGGCACUAUCUCGGAGAGAGGCUCGGUGAAAUACAUAUGUUUGUGAAAAUGUAGACUACCUGCACUUGGAUAGAAAGACCCUAUGAAGAUUUGUUGUUCCCUGGCACUGGCUUUGGGCCAUUCUUGCGCAGCUUGGGUGGAAGGCGAAGAAGGCCUCCUUUCGAGGGAGGCCCGAGUCAUCAGUCAGAUACUACUCUAGAAGGGCUACAUUCUAACCUUGUGUCAGGACCUACGGGCCAUUGGAUAGUCUCAAGUAGACAAUUUCUAUAGGGCUUAAGCCUCCUAAAAGGUAACAAAGGCAUGCAAAGGUUUCUUCGGAACGGAUAAAGAUUGACCCUCAAGUGCAAAGGUAGAAGGGAGUUUGACUGUAAGAUCCACCACAAACAGGGAUGAAAGUCGGCCCGAGUGAUCCGACGGUGCCGAAUGGAAGGGCCGUCACUCGAAUAAAAGUUACUCUAUGGAUAACAUGUUGAUCUUCCCCAAGAGCUCACAUGACGGGAAAAUUUGGCACCUCGAUGUCGGUUGUUCACCACCUGGGAAUGUAGUAUAUUUUAAGGAUUGGGUUGUUCGCCCAUUAAAGUGGUACGUUAGAUGAGUUCAGAACGUCGUGAGACAGUUUGGGUAUGUGAAUUUUUUU
rnacentral:ncRNA from 1 species